rnacentral:rRNA from 1 species
UACAGAGGUCUCGAGCGUUAGGCGGAAUCACUGGGCUUAAAGCGUGUGUAGGCGGAUCGGUAAGUACCUUGUGAAAUCCCACAGCUUAACUGUGGAACUGCUUGGUAUACUGCCAGUCUUGAGCCAGCUAGGGUCUACCGGAACAAAUGGUGGAGCGGUGAAAUGCGUAGAUAUCAUUUGGAACGCCAAUGGUGAAAACAGGUAGCUGGGGCUGUGCUGACGCUGAGACACGAAAGCCAGGGGAGCAAACGGG